rnacentral:rRNA from 1 species
AUUGAACGCUGGCGGCAUGCUUUACACAUGCAAGUCGAACGGUAACAGCACUUCGGUGGCUGACGAGUGGCGAACGGGUGAGUAAUACAUCGGAACGUGCCUAGUAGUGGGGGAUAACUACUCGAAAGAGUAGCUAAUACCGCAUGAGAUCUAAGGAUGAAAGCAGGGGACCUUCGGGCCUUGCGCUACUAGAGCGGCUGAUGGCAGAUUAGGCAGUUGGUGGGAUAAAAGCUUACCAAGCCGACGAUCUGUAGCUGGUCUGAGAGGACGACCAGCCACAGUGGGAUUGGGAAACGGCCCAGACCACACGGGGAGGCAAAGGGGGGGAAUUUGGGAAAAGGGGCGAAAGCCUGAUCCAGCAAUGCCGCGGGAAGGAAGAAGGCCUUCGGGUUGUAAACGGCUUUUGGACGGAAAAAAAAGCCCCCUUCUAAUACAGGGGGGUCAGGACGGUACCGAAAGAAAAAGCACCGGCUAACUACGU